rnacentral:rRNA from 1 species
UACGUAGGGUGCAAGCGUUAAUCGGAAUUACUGGGCGUAAAGCGUGCGCAGGCGGCUUUGUAAGUCUGUUGUGAAAGCCCCGGGCUCAACCUGGGAACCGCGCUUGAGACUGGAGAACUAGAGUUCGGGAGAGGAUGGUGGAAUUCCCAGUGUAGAGGUGAAAUUCGUAGAUAUUGGGAAGAACACCGAUGGCGAAGGCAGCCAUCUGGACCGACACUGACGCUGAGGCGCGAAAGCGUGGGGAGCAAACAGG